rnacentral:tRNA from 1 species
GGACAGGUGGCCGAGUGGUUAAUGGCAGCAGACUGUAAAUCUGCCCGCGUGAGCGUACGCUAGUUCGAAUCUAGCCCUGUCCACCA